rnacentral:rRNA from 1 species
GCGAGGCCGAAAGGCGUAGUCGAUGGGAAAAUGGUUAAUAUUCCAUUACUUCUGUGUAAUGCGAUGAGAGGACGGAGAAGGCUAAAUCAGCCUGGCGUUGGUUGUCCAGGUGAAAGGAUGUAGGCAUGUAUCUUAGGCAAAUCCGGGGUACUCUAUGCUGAGAUCUGAUAGCAAGCUGUACUUGUACAGCGAAGUGGUUGAUGCCAUGCUUCCAGGAAAAGUCUCUAAGCUUCAGUUACACAGGAAUCGUACCCGAAACCGACACAGGUGGUCAGGUCGAGUAGACCAAGGCGCUUGAGAGAACUCUGCUGAAGGAACUAGGCAAAAUGGUACCGUAACUUCGGGAGAAGGUACGCUGUUGUUGGUGAUGGAACUCGCUUCCUGAGCUGACGACAGCCGCAGAAACCAGGCCGCUGCAACUGUUUAUUAAAAACAUAGCACUCUGCAAACACGAAAGUGGACGUAUAGGGUGUGAUGCCUGCCCGGUGCUGGAAGGUUAAUUGAUGGGGUUAGCGUAAGCGAAGCUCUUGAUCGAAGCCCCAGUAAACGGCGGCCGUAACUAUAACGGUCCUAAGGUAGCGAAAUUCCUUGUCGGGUAAGUUCCGACCUGCACGAAUGGCAUAAUGAUGGCGGCGCUGUCUCCAGCAGAGGCUCAGUGAAAUCGAAAUCGCUGUGAAGAUGCAGUGUACCCGCGGCUAGACGGAAAGACCCCGUGAACCUUUACUGCAGCUUGACACUGAACUUUGACCUUACUUGUGUAGGAUAGGUGGGAGGCUUUGAAGCUGGAACGCUAGUUCCAGUGGAGCCGUCCUUGAAAUACCACCCUGGUAAUGUUGAGGUUCUAACUCUGUCCCGUGAUCCGGGACGAGGACCGUGUCUGGUGGGUAGUUUGACUGGGGCGGUCUCCUCCUAAAGAGUAACGGAGGAGUACGAAGGUGCGCUCAGCGUGGUCGGAAAUCACGCGUAGAGUAUAAAGGCAAAAGCGCGCUUAACUGCGAGACCCACAAGUCGAGCAGGUACGAAAGUAGGUCUUAGUGAUCCGGUGGUUCUGUAUGGAAGGGCCAUCGCUCAACGGAUAAAAGGUACUCUGGGGAUAACAGGCUGAUACCGCCCAAGAGUUCAUAUCGACGGCGGUGUUUGGCACCUCGAUGUCGGCUCAUCUCAUCCUGGGGCUGAAGCAGGUCCCAAGGGUAUGGCUGUUCGCCAUUUAAAGAGGUACGCGAGCUGGGUUUAGAACGUCGUGAGACAGUUCGGUCCCUAUCUACCGUGGGCGCUGGAAAUUUGAGAGGAUCUGCUCCUAGUACGAGAGGACCAGAGUGGACGAACCUCUGGUGUACCGGUUGUGACGCCAGUCGCAUCGCCGGGUAGCUAUGUUCGGAAGGGAUAACCGCUGAAAGCAUCUAAGCGGGAAGCCUACCUCAAGAUAAGAUUUCCCUAGGACUUUAUGUCCUCUAAAGAGCCGUUCGAGACUAGGACGUUGAUAGGUUGGAUGUGGAAGCAUAGUGAUAUGUGAAGCUGACCAAUACUAAUUGCUCGUGAGGCUUGACUAUAC